rnacentral:lncRNA from 1 species
AGUAGAGAGUAUUUUACAAGAAGAAGUCUGUGGAUUCUGGAAUUGUAUGAAGCAGAUUACUAAGAAUGAUAGAUAGUUUUGGAGAAUUUCAAUGAUUGGAUUAUAGAAUGUUUUAUGCAAUCUUUUAAGAUAGUGCAAUAUUACAUAUUGUUGUUAUAAGUUUGGAGAGGAGAAGAGACAAAAAAUGCAUAAGAUAGUAUUAUCAAUUGUAAUAUUUUAAUUGUUAGAAGAAGAAU